rnacentral:rRNA from 1 species
GACGAACGCUGGCGGCGUGCUUAACACAUGCAAGUCGAACGGAAAGGCCCUGCUUUUGUGGGGUGCUCGAGUGGCGAACGGGUGAGUAACACGUGAGUAACCUGCCCUUGACUUUGGGAUAACUUCAGGAAACUGGGGCUAAUACCGGAUAGGAGCUCCUGCUGCAUGGUGGGGGUUGGAAAGUUUCGGCGGUUGGGGAUGGACUCGCGGCUUAUCAGCUUGUUGGUGGGGUAGUGGCUUACCAAGGCUUUGACGGGUAGCCGGCCUGAGAGGGUGACCGGCCACAUUGGGACUGAGAUACGGCCCAGACUCCUACGGGAGGCAGCAGUGGGGAAUAUUGCACAAUGGGCGGAAGCCUGAUGCAGCAACGCCGCGUGCGGGAUGACGGCCUUCGGGUUGUAAACCGCUUUCGCCUGUGACGAAGCGUGAGUGACGGUAAUGGGUAAAGAAGCACCGGCUAACUACGUGCCAGCAGCCGCGGUGAUACGUAGGGUGCGAGCGUUGUCCGGAUUUAUUGGGCGUAAAGGGCUCGUAGGUGGUUGAUCGCGUCGGAAGUGUAAUCUUGGGGCUUAACCCCUGAGCGUGCUUUCGAUACGGGUUGACUUGAGGAAAGGUAGGGGGAGAAUGGAAUUCCUGGUGGAGCGGUGGAAUGCGCAGAUAUCAGGAGGAACACCAGUGGCGAAGGCGGUUCUCUGGGCCUUUCCUGACCGCUGAGGAGCGAAAGCGUGGGGAGCGAACAGGCUUAGAUACCCUGGUAGUCCACGCUGUAAACGGUGGGUACUAGGUGUGGGGUCCAUUCCACGGGUUCCGUGCCGUAGCUAACGCUUUAAGUACCCCGCCUGGGGAGUACGGCCGCAAGGCUGAAACUCAAAGGAAUUGACGGGGCCCCGCACAAGCGGCGGAGCAUGCGGAUUAAUUCGAUGCAACGCGUAGAACCUUACCUGGGUUUGACAUGGAUCGGGAGUGCUCAGAGAUGGGUGUGCCUCUUUUGGGGUCGGUUCACAGGUGGUGCAUGCCUGUCGUCAGCUCGUGUCGUGAGAUGUUGGGUUAAGUCCCGCAACGAGCGCAACCCUUGUUCACUGUUGCCAGCACGUUAUGGUGGGGACUCAGUGGAGACCGCCGGGGUCAACUCGGAGGAAGGUGGGGAUGACGUCAAGUCCUCAUGCCCCUUAUGUCCAGGGCUUCACGCAUGCUACAAUGGCUGGUACAGAGAGUGGCGAGCCUGUGAGGGUGAGCGAAUCUCGGAAAGCCGGUCUCAGUUCGGAUUGGGGUCUGCAACUCGACCUCAUGAAGUCGGAGUCGCUAGUAAUCGCAGAUCAGCAACGCUGCGGUGAAUACGUUCCCGGG